CCUACGGGAGGCUGCAGUGAGGAAUAUUGGUCAAUGGACGAGAGUCUGAACCAGCCAAGUAGCGUGAAGGAUGACUGCCCUAUGGGUUGUAAACUUCUUUUAUAUGGGAAUAAAAUGUUCCACGUGUGGGAUUUUGUAUGUACCAUAUGAAUAAGGAUCGGCUAACUCCGUGCCAGCAGCCGCGGUAAUACGGAGGAUCCGAGCGUUAUCCGGAUUUAUUGGGUUUUAAGGGAGCGUAGGUGGAUUGUUAAGUCAGUUGUGAAAGUUUGCGGCUCAACCGUAAAAUUGCAGUUGAAACUGGCAGUCUUGAGUACAGUAGAGGUGGGCGGAAUUCGUGGUGUAGCGGUGAAAUGCUUAGAUACCACGAAGAACUCCGAUUGCGAAGGCAGUUCACUGGACUGCAACUGACACUGAGGCUCGAAAGUGUGGGUAUCAAACAGGAUUAGAUACCCUUGUAGUC
rnacentral:rRNA from 1 species